GCCCACCAAGUACUACUGGACGACCAUGCUUAAUUAUUCCAGCCUUUGCCAUUGCAAUGCUUUCUAGAGAACCCCCCAGUGCCAUCAAAUGUUCCUGACCUAUACUAGUAAUGACUGAUACAGCAAGUCCAGAACUACAAAUUAUAUUUGUAGCAUCUCGAGCACCUCCAAGACCAGCCUCAAUAACUGCAAUGUCAAUAUUCUCUUGAGCAAACAGGGAGAAUGCAAUGGCAGUAAGAACCUCAAAAUGACUCAAACAUCC
rnacentral:misc_RNA from 1 species